rnacentral:lncRNA from 1 species
GGGGUCAAAGUCAAUUACAUGAGAGAUGAAAGGGAUGAUAGAGCUCUCAAAAUGGAAGGUGAUCUCCAUGUAGAAGUCUCUCAUCCUCCACAUGGGGGUGAUGAGAAAGUAGCAGCACCACUUGGCCCAAACUUAGCUAGGAUUGAUAGUGGUGGACAAUGAUACAAGUGAGAUGCUCCUCAUAGGCUCAUAUGGUCUCGUGGAGGGCACUCCAGCCUUGUCAUUGUAGAAGCUCUACUCAGCACCAACGGUCAUGGGAAGAUCAGCAAUGGUAGGGGAUGUCAUCUCAAUUGGGACAUCACGAUGGUCUGCCACAACGAAUAUGGCAUCGGCCUUGGCCUCAUCACAGUGGAUAGCAAGU